rnacentral:rRNA from 1 species
UACGGAGGGGACUAGCGUUGUUCGGAAUUACUGGGCGUAAAGCGCACGUAGGCGGAUUUGUAAGUCAGGGGUGAAAUCCCGGGGCUCAACCUCGGAACUGCCUUUAAUACUGCAAAUCUCGAGUCCGGAAGAGGUGAGUGGAAUUCCUAGUGUAGAGGUGAAAUUCGUAGAUAUUAGGAAGAACACCAGUGGCGAAGGCGGCUCACUGGUCCGGUACUGACGCUGAGGUGCGAAAGCGUGGGGAGCAAACAGG